GAAAUACUCCCUCCGCCCAAAAAAACUUGUCAUCAAAAUAGAUAAAAUGGGGUGUAUCUAGAACUAAAAUACAUCUAGGUACAUCCCUUUUUAUUCAUUUUGAUGACAAGUAUUUCCGGACGGAGGGAGUACUAG
rfam:Triticum urartu cultivar G1812 contig278792, whole genome shotgun sequence.